GAGGAAUUUUGUUUUUUUGACGAGGAAUUGGCUUUAGGAUGACAAACUCAAAAACUCGGUUUGCAGAAUUUGAAGAUCGAAGAUGAAUAUGAACAGAUUGAGAAGCAUCGAUCCAUUCAUGGUGUUGCAGAAACUGGGUUUGCAGAAACUGGGUUCUUUUUUCUACAAAGAAUUUCACUUUUUUAGAUUUAAAUCUGUGUU
rnacentral:lncRNA from 1 species